UACGUAGGGUGCAAGCGUUGUCCGGAUUCACUGGGCGUAAAGGGCGCGUAGGCGGCCAGAUAAGUCAGCGGUGAAAUCUCGCGGCUCAACCUCGAGACUGCCUUUGAAACUGUCUGGCUAGAGUACGGUAGAGGCAAGUGGAAUUCCCGGUGUAGCGGUGAAAUGCGUAGAUAUCGGGAAGAACACCAGUGGCGAAGGCGGCUUGCUGGGCCGUUACUGACGCUGAGGCGCGAAAGCGUGGGGAGCAAACAGG
rnacentral:rRNA from 1 species